ACUUCAUGUUCAACUUUUCAGAACACCAUGGAGUUGCAUCUCCUGCAGGAUACAGUCCUUAGGAAGACAACAGUCUUAUCCAGAAUCUGAGGUACUGCAGAGGCGGAUGGCACCCCAGGAGCAGUUGAAGUGUGAGUUUGUCCUCUUGAGAGUCUACUGCUGUUCUGAGAGUUCCUUUUUUUCCAAGAUGCCAUAUUAUUAUUAUUGUAGAGAGACAUCUGUGGGUAUAAUGGAACCUAUGUGGUUGGACUUGAUCAAUAAAAAGCUUAAAGGGAGAGAUUAUUUUCACGUGAAAGAGUUUGUACAAGACAUGAGGCUCAUCUUCCAGAACCACAU